rnacentral:rRNA from 1 species
CCCUUAGAUGUUCUGGGCCGCACGCGCGCUACACUGACGAAUGCAACGAGCUUAUAACCUUGGCCGAAAGGUCUGGGCAAUCUCCAAAUUUCGUCGUGAUGGGGAUAGAUUAUUGCAAUUAUUAAUCUUCAACGAGGAAUGCCUAGUAAGCGCAAGUCAUCAGCUUGCGUUGAUUACGUCCCUGCCCUUUGUACACACCGCCCGUCGCUCCUACCGAUUGAAUGGUCCGGUGAAGCGCUCGGACCGCGGCCUCUUGACGGUUUUCCGUCGAUUGGCUGUGGGAAGUUCGUUAAACCUUAUCAUUUAGAGGAAGGAGAAGUCGUAACA